rnacentral:lncRNA from 1 species
AGGAAGAAAUACCUGAUUUCUGAAAACAGCCUAUAUCCCGAACAGUUUCCUGGAAAUGACACUGCUGGUUAAAUUUUAUAAAGCAUUCCAAGUGUUGAUCAGCAAGUUUUGAUGCUUCCAAGUGCCCAAAGAGGAAAUCCGGCAGCAGAGGUUCCUGGGGGGAUCCCAUCAGAUGCAGGAGCUCACCGGCUCCCCCAGUCAGGGACUUGAUGCUCUUGGCCUCGGCGCUCUUGACCCCAGACCAGCCUCUGUGAAGAGACAGAGCCCGUUUUGCGACCUGUCCUCACACACAGACAAUCGUGGUGCCUAUUGGACAUAGCGAGGCUGUAUUUUCUAGACUUGCUCUGUUUGCUGAAAACCCGAAGAAGCCAGGAAAUUGCUUCCUGUGCCUGAAGUGCACGAGCAAGGCUGGAAAACAGAGCCAAGACACAAACUGUGAAGCAACAGCUCAACCUCCGAGAGCGAGUGGGCUUCGCGCUAUUUCUGGCCAGAGCAGAUGUGGCCUCGGGGGGCUGUGGGGAACAGUAUCCCUCAGGUAAAAAUAAACUCGUACCAUUAGGACCCAAAGGAUGCCGAUUCCUCAUUCCCAAGCAGAUCGUGAACUGGGAGCCCUGUGGGAAGACGACUGGUUUGGGAAUCCGACAGGGUUCUGCCCUGGAUUUCUUCCAGAUUGCGCUACCAAUCGGCCAUCUGGUCUCAACAGCAGUGGUCUCCAGUGAUGCAGGAGUGGUCUCUGGUGAUGCAUGGUGCUGUGGGGACCAGCAGGGCAGCAUGUCAUCCAGUCUGGGGUGCAGGAAUGCUGCCUGGAGGAGCGGAUGCGCCCGAGCGGAGUCUCAGCGGUGGAGCAGAGGUCAUCCAGGUAAGGACACAUCUUGAGGAUAUUCUGGAUUGAGGCAGGAAAGCAAGGAAAAGUGUGGUGUUGGGGAGGAGCCCUGGAAGGCAGCCGGUCAUUCCCCAGCCUAAGGCAUUAAGAGUUGGGGACUGGACGAUGGUGAAGCUGCCUGAGAGGUGAGGCCUGG